CCUACGGGCGACAGCAGUGAGGAAUAUUGGUCAAUGGACGAGAGUCUGAACCAGCCAAGUAGCGUGAAGGAUGACUGCCCUAUGGGUUGUAAACUUCUUUUAUAAAGGAAUAAAAAGAGGCACGUGUGCAUUUUGGGAUGUACUUUAUGAAGAAGGAUCGGCUAACUCCGUGCCAGCAGCCGCGGUAAUACGGAGGAUCCGAGCGUUAUCCGGAUUUAUUGGGGUUAAAGGGAGCGUAGAUGGGUUGUUAAGUCAGUGGUGAAAGUUUGCGGCUCCACCGUAAAAUUGCAAUUGAUACUGGCAUUCUUGAGUACAGUUGAGGUAGGCGGAAUUCGUUGUGUAGCGGU
rnacentral:rRNA from 1 species